UAAGAUUUACUUUUAUGAGAUCACCUGCAGGAAGCAGGUGAGGAGAUCAGCUGUGAUUCGGUCCGGCGUCAGCGAGCGGCUCAUGACCAGACCAGUCGUUUUUUUCUCCAUGAUCGCCGGAGCAACAGCAGUUUUAACCCGCCGAGGCUUUUAGAACAUUAUAAAGCAGUUUCAGCUCAAAAUGGACCCGUGAGUGUCGUAGACUACCAGUUUGUGAGCUGAUAUGCAGUGGAAAUUGACAUCCAGAAGGAAGUCAUA